UACGAAGGUGGCAAGCGUUGUUCGGAUUUACUGGGCGUACAGGGAGCGUAGGCGGUUGGAUAAGCCCUCCGUGAAAUCUCCAGGCUUAACCUGGAAAGUGCAGAGGGGACUGUUCAGCUAGAGGAUGGGAGAGGAGCGCGGAAUUCCCGGUGUAGCGGUGAAAUGCGUUGAUAUCUAUCGGAACGCCGAAGGUGAAAACAGGCAGCUGGGCUUGUCCUGACGCUGAGGUACGAAAGCGUGGGGAGCAAACGGG
rnacentral:rRNA from 1 species